AAUAGAGAGCUUUUGAAAUCAAUAAACUCUUAUACUAUUUGUAAUUGUCCAUCAACAUGUCGAUUAGAGCUUUGAAUUAUGUAACCGAAACUGAAAUGCUAAACUCGAAAGAGUAAAAAUUAAGCAAAUUGUUGGCUAGGCAACUAGUCCUCAAACUUGAAGCCAACAUGGUGGAGGAAGCUUGAAAUCUAUGAAAGAUAGACCCAGCUAGCAGGACAAAGAUGCAUCAGAAGGCUCAGCUUUGAAGACUCAGGGCCUGAGGGAAAGAUAACAACAGAGAAGUGUCGAAACAAAUGGGUGGACUGUGGAGAAAGCGAUGGUUUGUUUUGAACGAGAAAACUGAAAAGGUCAUUGAGUGACAUGCUCAUCACUUUUUACAUGAUAGAGAUAAAUUAUUCUAUCUAUCUCCACAAGAUAGUGAUAAGGUCUGUAUAUAUUUUAUUCUCUUCAGACUUCACUUUGUCGGACCAUGCUUGAUAUGUUAAUAUCUACAUAAGCAUGUGCUUACUUCACUUUAUAUCCUUUUCUUUUGGUAGGACAAACAUGUGCAAAUCAAACACAAUUGGCUAUGUGAUACCACAGUGCACAAGUUGAAAGAAUAUUUGUCGUGUUUCCAAGAGAAUAGAUUAAGAUUUUAUUGCAUUGGAUAUGAUACAAUAUCUUAGCUUCUUUUGUAAAUAAAAUUAUACUUCUAGGAAUCACAUGUAUUUGAAACUUGAUCUAUACAUGUAUAUGAUAUGUUAAUUUCUUUGCA